rnacentral:rRNA from 1 species
CAGUCGCCGCGGUAAUACGUAGGUGGCAAGCGUUGUCCGGAAUUAUUGGGCGUAAAGGGAGCGCAGGCGGUUCAGUAAGUCUGAAGUUAAAGGCAUUGGCUCAACCAAUGUAUGCUUUGGAAACUGUUAGACUUGAGUGCAGAAGGGGAGAGUGGAAUUCCAUGUGUAGCGGUGAAAUGCGUAGAUAUAUGGAGGAACACCGGUGGCGAAAGCGGCUCUCUGGUCUGUCACUGACGCUGAGGCUCGAAAGCGUGGGUAGCGAACAGGAUUAGAUACCCCAGUAGUCCCUGUCUCUUAUACC